UUCUCGCUUAAGCAGACAUAAUCUAAAAUAGGACGGAUACAGAGAAGACUAGCAUGGUCCAUGCUUAAGGCUGACACGCAAAUUGGUGAAGUGUUCUGUAUUUUA
ensembl:snRNA U6 U6 spliceosomal RNA